rnacentral:lncRNA from 1 species
AUGGAGGAUCUCGUGUUGGGCUCUCGGGAUUUGAGUCUGGGGGCUCAGGAGCCCGGGGGUCUCAGCACCGGGGUGUCACAGCUCGGCUCUGGGGGUCUCGGGGGUUUGGGGUGCCAAGAUUUGGGUCUGGGGGCUCAGAGGAUCCCCGAGUCACGGGCGUUCCUGGCACUGGAGUGGGGGUCUCCGUGGGGUGGGUCUGUGGGUCCCACCCCACGGGGGUUCCGUGGGUCACACCCCGAGGGGGUUUCUGUGGGUCCCACCCGUGGGUGCCACCCGUGGGUCCCACGCCACUUCCUGCAGGAAGCUCCGGCGACGCCCGGGAACGCCUUUUUCCGGCCCAAAAAUACCCAAACCCCCCCAAAACACCCAAACCCCCCCAAAAACCCCGACCCCGCCCCGGGAACGCCUUUUUCCGGCCCAAAACCACCCAAAACCCCCCCAAAACACCCAAACCCCCCCAAAAACCCCGACCCCGCCCCGGGAACGCCUUUUUCCGGCCCAAAACCACCCAAAACCCCCCCAAAAUCCCGGGAACGCCCUUUUCCGCCCCAAAACCCCCCGAACCCCCCCAAAAUCCCGCCCCCGCCCCGGGACCGCCUUUUUCCGGCCAGCCCAGCCCCCCCCGCCCCAAAACCACCCGAAUCCCCCCCAAAAACCUCCGGCCCCGCCCCCACCCCGCCCCCCCCCAUUUCCUGGACCGUUUCUCCGGCGCAGAAACAGGUACGGGGGGGGGGGGGGAUGGGUGGGGGUCCCCUGGGCCCCCCCGAGACCCCCAAAAACGCCCCCCAAGUUCCCCUUCGCCCCCCGGGGUCGCCCCCCGGGUUCCCACGCGUGUCCCCCACCCCAAAACGGUUUUUUGGGGGGGUCCGCCCCGCUCCCCUCCCCCUCCCCGAGGCGUUUGGGGCGCGGCACCGCCCCCUCCCCACCCCUGACCCCUCCCCAAAUUCGAGGGGGGUGCAGAGAAACCCCCCACGACCCCUGGGACCCCCCCCCCCCAAAUCCUGA